AGUGAACGCUGGCGGUAGGCCUAACACAUGCAAGUCGAACGGCAGCACAGAGGAGCUUGCUCCUUGGGUGGCGAGUGGCGGACGGGUGAGGAAUACAUCGGAAUCUACUCUGUCGUGGGGGAUAACGUAGGGAAACUUACGCUAAUACCGCAUACGACCUACGGGUGAAAGCAGGUGAUCUUCGGACCUUGCGCGAUUGAAUGAGCCGAUGUCGGAUUAGCUAGUUGGCGGGGUAAAGGCCCACCAAGGCGACGAUCCGUAGCUGGUCUGAGAGGAUGAUCAGCCACACUGGAACUGAGACACGGUCCAGACUCCUACGGGAGGCAGCAGUGGGGAAUAUUGGACAAUGGGCGCAAGCCUGAUCCAGCCAUACCGCGUGGGUGAAGAAGGCCUUCGGGUUGUAAAGCCCUUUUGUUGGGAAAGAAAUCCAUCUGGUUAAUACCCGGGUGGGAUGACGGUACCCAAAGAAUAAGCACCAGCUAACUUCGUGCCAGCAGCCGCCGUAA
rnacentral:rRNA from 1 species